AUGGCGCCGCACGCCCCUCGCCGGCUUGCCCGAGAGGCGAGGGCGCGGCGCCGGGAGGCUGGGGUCCAAUUUAAUCACCAGGCCGCGCGGGACGGAGGCCGGGGGUCUCUAUUUUCCGUCAGGCAACGCCGACCUCGGAACCGCGCCCGGCCGCCCGCCCCUGCCCCUUGCCCCCUCCCGCACCGGGCCGGCUCCCCCUCCCGGCCGGGCUCGGCGGCGCGGGCGCGGGGGCGUGGGCGGAGCCGCGGCCCGGCAGUUCAUUACGUUGGACAGGGCGCGUCUGCGCCUCGGGCUGCUGCGGCUCCCCGGGCCUCCGCCUGCAGCCGGCAGCGGAACGGGGGCAGGCGGCUGAGACGGGCGAGCUAUUUGCAUUCCCCGGCAGUCAUUUUUAUAUGCGGAGGUAAUGAAGUUGUCAGCAGCGUCCCGAGUGUGGCAGAGCCUGAUAUUCAAAUCGCCCUGCCCGCUCCGCCUGCUCCCGCCCGCGGGUCCCGGGAGUCCCGGGCUGCGCGCGCCCGCCCCGCAUCAUCGCUUCGCCCGCGACCGCGCGCGCCUCCCUGUCCUCCCCCGCGCCUUUGUCUCCGUCUCCCUCUCCUUUCCCUAGUCUUUUGUGUCCCGCCAGACUUAGCUCCAGAAACCAGCCACACUUCUGCGUCCCCGCACGCCGGUACCCUUCACCCCGGGCGAAACCCAGCACACAGCUAUUCUGUCAGGCUGCUGAGAAAAGGCUGCCCGGGUGAGGAAAUGAGGCGGAAAGGUGGUUGAAACUGCCUGGAGUGGGUGAAGGAAGGCAGUGAACACCCAUGCUCCUCCGGUUGGUUUUCCUGGGCCUCUGCAACCGUGCUCCUCACUGGGGCAGCCAUGACCACAAGAGGCUGCUGAGCGCUUGCAGCGUGGCCAGGCCAGACCAAGAUGUUUUCCAAGUGGGAAAUACACACUCCAUUGUAAAGAAGACUAUGAAAAAAAGAAUGUGAACUGGCUUAUUCAUCAUUUAAAAACAACCCUUAUCGCAUAUUGAAAUGAUAACAUUUUCGGUAUAUAGGGUGAAAUAAAGUAUCAUGAAUUAAAUCUGGUUCUUUUUUA